rnacentral:rRNA from 1 species
CCCUUAGAUGUCCGGGGCUGCACGCGCGCUACACUGAAGGAAUCAGCGUGCUAAAACCAUUGUCGAAAGGCAUUGGUAAACCCAUUAAAAUCCUACGUGAUUGGGAUCGGGAAUUGCAAUUAUUUCCCUUGAACGAGGAAUUCCCAGUAAGUGUGGGUCAUAAGCUCGCGUUGAUUACGUCCCUGCCCUUUGUAAACACCGCCCGUCGCUGCCCGGGACUGAGCCGUUUCGAGAAAAGCGGGGACUGCUGCUGUCGGGGCUUUCGGGCCUUGGCUUCGGUGGAAACCGCUUUAAUCGCAGUGGCUUGAACCGGGCAAAAGUCGUAACA